AACUCUUAGCGGUGGAUGUCUUGGCUCUCGCAUCGAUGAAGAACGCAGCGAAAUGCGAUACGUAAUGUGAAUUGCAGAAUUCCGUGAAUCAUCGAAUCUUUGAACGCAAGUUGCGCCCGAGGGUAUUCCCUCGAGCACACCUGUUUGAGUGUC
rnacentral:rRNA from 12 species